AUCCUUCUUUCUCAAUCUUCCUCAAUCUGUGUAUGUAUUACAACGUUCAAAACAAUCUUCAAAGUAUAAAGUAGCCAAAUCACUUCUACAAGCGUGACAGUAUUCGUUAAAGUUUAGGAGGUUGAAAGCAUUUGCUUAGUUUAUAUCAGCUAUACUUUUGGGACGGUUUUAAAUAACUGUGAAGAAUAACUAUGUCAAUAUUGAGUUUAACAGCACUGAUUGGUUUGUUUGUUGGUAUUACGUAUGGAUUGAGUGACGGAAUUAUUUACGACACCUCUGCACAGGCGAAAUGUACUGAGAUCACGCGAGGACCAACAAGGGACUGUAGAUGGCCUGCGGGACUGAACAUGCAAGUGGAUCAAGUUGCAGCUGGGGGGAAGAUUGCUGCAUACAAAAUUCAAUGGUUUAAUGGUAACUGGAGUGGUUGGUACGUCCCAGGAUACAACGACAUGGACCGGAAAUUCAACAUUUAUGCAAAAAGAUGUUCAAUGCCGUACAUACGAAAUAGUCUACGACGAAUGUGGUCUUACUUCUACGAUCACACCCACAAGUUUAUAGUGUGCAAGGUUUAGAAAUACUGAACAGAAGAUAAAUAAUAAAAGAAAGAUCUUAUGAU